GUCCAGCUGUCCAAAUAACGCUUGUUACCAAGGGCCGGGCAAUACCGGUGCCAGACCGCCCGGUAACACCGGCGGCCCGAGUGGUAGCCGUUAUUAUUGGGUUUAAAGGGUCCGUAUCCGGCCUAUUACGUCUCUUGGGAAAUCUGGCGACUCAUUCGUCAAUCUUCCAAGAAAUACUGGUAGGCUUGGGACCGGGACAGGUGGGAGGUACUCCAGGGGUACGGGUGAAAUCUCGUAUUCAUUGGGGGACCUCCCAUGACGAAUGACUCCCGCCGCAACGGACCCUACAGACCACGGACAUAACGCUGGCGGCUCGAACCGGAUUAUAUACCCGGGUAGUCCGGGCCGUAUAUGAUCCUGCCUUGGUGUAAGGUGGUAUGCUACCGCAUCUGAUGCCCCACUGAAGACUUGAACCCACUCAGCCGCCAUAUACGGUCUCCCGGCUGAGACUUAUUUGAACUCCCGCGGCACCACAAA
rnacentral:rRNA from 1 species